rfam:Rachicladosporium antarcticum strain CCFEE 5527 scaffold_13, whole genome shotgun sequence.
GGGCAAUUGGCGCAGUGGUAGCGCGUCCGCUUUGCAUGCGGAAGGUCUAGGUUUCGAUCACCUAAUUGUCCA